GAUUACCUUGGACAGAUCAAGACUUAUCAGGGCAAAACAUACUAUGUUGGGCUUGGUGAUACAAAAGGAAAGACUAACGUGUCAGAGGUUUUCAAGCAUUGCUGCGAGCUUGGAUUUCGACUUUGGGAGCCUCAAAGUGUAAAUGAAGUGACGUAUAUCCCACAAAUAGUUUCUGUACUGAACACUGUUUUGGUGGGCGAGACAGAGUCGAUAAACCACACGCACGAGGUGUGGUGCAACAGCCGCACCCUUGUGCCCGACUACUACUCUCUGUCCGAUAUGUGGAUGAGAUUCCCCUGCCAGACGUCCAUCGUCGGAAUCACGCAAUCGAAUCAAAAAAUUGUAGUGGCGUUCUACCCGGAAAAGAGCAUCCAAGACAUGUUCAUCAAUCCGCAGAAAUAUGAUUUGAGUUUGUUAAAUGCCUUUUCCUCUUUUGUCUGCGAAAAGGUGUGAGGAAACCAUGCUAUCAAUUUACGAGAGUUUGUUUGCAUUUUUUUGGUGGCGGGUUUCAAAAAAGUUUGUUUCGUUUGAAAAAAACCAAACUUAAAAGUUGUUUUUGUUGUCCCUUGGGUGACAAUGUUUAAUAUGCUCAGGAGGGGAUUGUUGAUGAAAAAAGUUUGUCUAAUGUUCAUUAUGCACAUAUAUGCUUAUUCAAUUAUUUCUGCAGUCCAUGCUCGGUUCCCAGAAGCAUUUAAUUCGUGCACAAGCGGGCGAGAUGUACUGGAAAGGUGGAAAGGGGUUGACACCGCUGUGUUCUGCGAGACCGUUUAUUUUUAGAGGUGCAACCUGCCUCCAGUGUUUCCCAUUUAUUUUUUCAAGGCAUUAAAAUACCCCGCCUGCUUCGAAAAGACCAGAGACGUGCAUGGGCAUUGAUGAUUUCGCAGCAAAAUCCCUUUCUAGUGUUGCAAUUAUAUGUUAUGCUUUGCCAGUUUCUCUGCGGUUUGAUCAAUUUGUCAUUGCUUCAAAAGAAUUUCUGCUUUGAUUUUUGUGUGUGCAUU